UACGGAGGGUGCAAGCGUUAAUCGGAAUUACUGGGCGUAAAGCGCGCGUAGGCGGCUUUGUAAGUCGGAUGUGAAAGCCCUGGGCUUAACCUGGGAAUUGCAUUCGAUACUGCUUAGCUAGAGUAUGGUAGAGGGAAGUGGAAUUUCCGGUGUAACGGUGAAAUGCGUAGAUAUCGGAAGGAACACCAGUGGCGAAGGCGACUUCCUGGGCCAAUACUGACGCUGAGGCGCGAAAGCGUGGGGAGCAAACAGG
rnacentral:rRNA from 1 species